rnacentral:rRNA from 1 species
UACGUAGGGGGGCAAGCGUUGUCCCGGAUUUAUUGGGCGUAAAGAGCGUGUAGGCGGCCAUACAGGUCCGUUGUGAAAACUGGAGGCUUAACCUCCAGACGUCGAUGGAAACCGUGUGGCUAGAGUCCGGAAGAGGAGAGUGGAAUUCCUGGUGUAGCGGUGAAAUGCGCAGAUAUCAGGAAGAACACCGAUGGCGAAGGCAGGUCUCUGGCAUUAACUGCGCUGAGGAGCGAAGCGUGGGAGCGAACAGGAUAGAAACCCUUUGUAGCCA